rnacentral:tRNA from 2 species
UGCCCCAUGGCCCAGCUGGCUAAGGCGUCUGACUGUUAAUCAGAAGAUCGAGAGUUCGAGCCUCUCUGGGGCAG